GACGAACGCUGGCGGCGUGCCUAACACAUGCAAGUCGAACGAGAUCCAUGGGAGCUUGCUCCCGGAAGAUCUAGUGGCGAACGGGUGAGUAACACGUGAGAAACCUGCCCUGGAGUGGGGAAUAACUCGGGGAAACUCGAGCUAAUACCGCAUACCCUCGGAUGGUCGCAUGGCCGACCGAGGAAAGAUUUAUCGCUCUAGGAGGGUCUCGCGGCCUAUCAGCUAGUUGGUGGGGUAACGGCCUACCAAGGCAACGACGGGUAGCUGGUUUGAGAGAACGAUCAGCCACACUGGGACUGAGACACGGCCCAGACUCCUACGGGAGGCAGCAGUGGGGAAUCUUGCGCAAUGGGCGAAAGCCUGACGCAGCAACGCCGCGUGCGGGAUGACGGCCUUCGUGGUUGUAAACCGCUUUCAGCAGGGACGAAAAUAGACGGUACCUGCAGAAGAAGACCCCGGCUAACUACGUGCCAGCAGCCGCGGUAAU
rnacentral:rRNA from 1 species